GGUGAACGCUGGCGGUAGGCCUAACACAUGCAAGUCGAACGGCAGCACAGUAAGAGCUUGCUCUUACGGGUGGCGAGUGGCGGACGGGUGAGGAAUACAUCGGAAUCUACUUUUUCGUGGGGGAUAACGUAGGGAAACUUACGCUAAUACCGCAUACGACCUACGGGUGAAAGCAGGGGAUCUUCUGACCUUGCGCGAUUGAAUGAGCCGAUGUCGGAUUAGCUAGUUGGCGGGGUAAAGGCCCACCAAGGCGACGAUCCGUAGCUGGUCUGAGAGGAUGGUCAGCCACACUGGAACUGAGACACGGUCCAGACGCCUACGGGAGGCAGCAGUGGGGAAUAUUGGACAAUGGGCGCAAGCCUGAUCCAGCCAUACCGCGUGGGUGAAGAAGGCCUUCGGGUUGUAAAGACCUUUUGUUGGGAAAGAAAAGCAGCAGGUUAAGACCACGCUGUUCUGACGGUACCCAAAGAAUAAGCACCGGCUAACUUCGUG
rnacentral:rRNA from 1 species